GGAGAGGUGGCUGAGCUGGUUUAAGGCACCGGUUUCGAAAACCGACGUACUCGAAAGGGUACCGCGGGUUCAAAUCCCGCCCUCUCCGCAA
rnacentral:tRNA from 1 species